AGUGAACGCUGGCGGUAGGCCUAACACAUGCAAGUCGAACGGCAGCACAGUAAGAGCUUGCUCUUACGGGUGGCGAGUGGCGGACGGGUGAGGAAUACAUCGGAAUCUACUUUUUCGUGGGGGAUAACGUAGGGAAACUUACGUUAAUACCGCAUACGACCUACGGGUGAAAGCAGGGGAUCUUCGGACCUUGCGCGAUUGAAUGAGCCGAUGUCGGAUUAGCUAGUUGGCGGGGUAAAGGCCCACCAAGGCGACGAUCCGUGGCUGGUCUGAGAGGAUGAUCAGCCACACUGGAACUGAGACACGGUCCAGACUCCUACGGGAGGCAGCAGUGGGGAAUAUUGGACAAUGGGCGCAAGCCUGAUCCAGCCAUACCGCGUGGGUGAAGAAGGCCUUCGGGUUGUAAAGCCCUUUUGUUGGGAAAGAAAAGCAGCAGGUUAAUACCCCGCUGUUCUGACGGUACCCAAAGAAUAAGCACCGGCUAACUUCGUG
rnacentral:rRNA from 1 species